GUGUAAUCAGAAUGACUGAAAUUGGAAAAGGCAUUACUUUCCCCUCCAAGUGAAUCACUGUUUAUCUAACACUGUGUCCAUGGACACUGAAAACCAUCUCGUGUGUCACAAAGGCAGUGGUCCUCAGAGCUGAGCACCAAUAGAGUCACCCUGAGGCUGAUUAAAACACAGAUUGCUGAUUCAGUAGGCCUGGGUGGGGCCUGAGAAUAUGCAUUUCUAAAACGUUUCCAGGUCAUGCUGGUGCUGCUGGUUGGGGGGACACAUUUUUGAGGACCAACAACCUAGUUGUAUCAUCUCUCAUUUUAGGAAUAACUGGACUGGAUAAGGUUGAGAAAUGCAAACCCCAAAGAGGGGCAAACCUGCUCCCACCCAUUGCUUUCAGUUUUCCCCUUAAAGAAGAGCAAGUCCAGGCAGCACUCGCUUCAUCUCUGAAGACAGCUGAAUUACUAUUUGUGGCCACCACAAGAGCUUUCUGACCUCAGCCAGACCUCCCAUGGCUCACAGAAGCUCCAGGAGAGCAGAGACCACCGUUGUCUUGUUCACUGCUUCAUCUUUGAUACCUGCUGGAUGUGUAGAGAUGCCUCAAGUACCUGGGAUCAACUGAGCAGCCACCUCCUGAACGUUAAUUUCAGUAGGCAUGAAUGCCAAGAUUGGAAAUGGUUCUGUCAAUGUGUCAUCAACUAGACAUUUACGUUGGCAGUAUUGCUUUCCACAAGCCAUUUCUCUGGGAGUGGUCUUCUGAAUUAGAGAAGAAAAUGCUGGUUUUGAGUUGUGUGAGAUGUAAAACAAAGAGUACAAAGAUGGAGACAAAAUAUUACUUUUAUAGAAGCUUUUGAGAACGUGGCUUAGGGCUUCCUCCUACUGAAUCCUUAACUUCUUGGGUACAACAAUCCUGAAUCCAGGUUCUCUCCUCAAUGGGAAAAUGCAGGAUUUGAGGUGAGUAUUCCCAGUUUAUUCUGAAAUUACUCACUACAUUUCAUUAAGGGCAAAAUGAAUAAAGAUGUGCCAAGAGACCAGGAGUGUGGCAAGAAUUAAGCUCCCUCCACAUGUGAGGAGACAUCAUCCCUAAGGAUGAAGCAGUUCCCCUCAUGAAAGCUCUGUGCACAUUGUCUCUGUCAUCCUGCAGUGCUGAAGUCCAGUGUGGAUUGAGUUAGGAGGGGGCAUAACAGUGAUUCCUGAUUUAUACUUUGAGGAAUGCCUGACUUUCUUGCUGCCCAUAUUUUUCCAGAUGAUAAGGCCAGGGAAGAGUCAGGGAGCCAGAUGUGUGGCAGUCCUCCAUGCCUUCCUGGUUAUACUUUUCAUUCUAUGCUCAGCAGAGAAGUCAUAUAGAGAGCUGUGGAAAUAUUGACACUGUUGUAAUAUGGUGGCAUUAGCAGACAUUGGUGAUAGAGCA